UACGAAGGGGGCUAGCGUUGCUCGGAAUCACUGGGCGUAAAGCGCACGUAGGCGGAUUGCUAAGUCAGGGGUGAAAUCCUGGAGCUCAACUCCAGAACUGCCUUUGAUACUGGCGACCUUGAGUCCGGGAGAGGUGAGUGGAACUGCGAGUGUAGAGGUGAAAUGCGUAGAGAUCCGGAGGAACACCAGCGGCGAAGGCGGUUGCCUGGAGCUUUGCUGACGCUGAUGCGCGAAAGCGUGGGGAGCGAUCCGG
rnacentral:rRNA from 1 species